GCCCCUGUAGCUCAAUUGGAUAGAGCGCCUGCUUGCGGAGCAGAUGGUUACAGGUUCAAAUCCUGUCGGGGGUA
rnacentral:tRNA from 1 species